UAAUUGUUUUAUAUUAAAAACAGAUAUUUUUGAUAGUAARUGAUCCUUUUUAAAGAUUAAGAGAUUAAGUUACUUUAGGGAUAACAGCGUUAUUUUUCUUGAGAGUCCUCAUCGAAAGAAAAGUUUGCGACCUCGAUGUUGAAUUAAAAUUUCUUUAUAGUGCAGCAGC
rnacentral:rRNA from 1 species